UCUCCCAGCCUGUCUUGUUUUCUUAAUUCAACUGUAAAUUACACGCUAUAUUGAUGCAAGUUUUAGAUUAGAAGAUGUUAUAAAUGCUGUUAUUUUGUGCUAUUGAAAAGCUAUUGCAGGAGCAAGAGAGCAGAAAAGAGAGACGAGAGAGCGACUCUUUACGGAGUGUGACCCGGCACACUUGGAAGGCAUUCAGCUACUCCACAGUGGACCAGACCGUCUUUCCAUGGCAGCUUCACUCGUGGGCUGUGAUCUGGUUUGUUAAUUAAACAGAGAAACAUUCUCUGAUGGUCAAGAAGAAAAUACACACUUCACCGCAUCUCAGAACCUCAAAACAAUCUCAGAACCCUCAUGGAUAAGACAAAGUUUCAUCCUUAAGCGUCCACAAUUGCAGUCUUUGUUGUCUGAAUGAGAGGACGCAUUCUUCCAGAGGGAUGACCUCUUCUCUCCCCGCUAGUCCUGGCACUGCUCACACCAGCCCAGCAGCCAUCUCUCUCGCCUGCUCUCAUUGUCCUUCCUCUCUCAAAGGCCAUCAGCAGGACAUCUGACUGACAUAUAGCAUGUGUAUAUGGUUGUGUCAAGGCAACGAGAAAUAGAUUGAGCAUAUCCCAAUGGACUCACCCAGACGUUGACCUUUGACACAGAUCAGAAAGAGGAAAUGCCGAAGAGAAGAGACAUCCUGGCACUCGUAUUGAUCGUGUUACCCUGGACUUUGCUCAUCUCAAUUUGGCAUCAACGUUCUGGCAACCCUUUGCUUCCAGUUCAGAGAGGUGACAGGUCAGGGGUCAGCAGAUGUCACAGAAGAGGCUUUAGACUCCAAGAAUCCUGCAUCACUGAGAACACACAAAUCACGGAGGUCACCCGAACAAAGUACAUCUACAGCCGACUCCCGCCUUGGUCUGACACACUGCCCACUCUUCACGUGAUAACUCCAACCUACAGCAGGCCAGUCCAGAAGGCAGAGUUGACCCGCCUAGCUAAUACCUUCCUACACGUCCCCAACCUUCACUGGUUGGUGGUAGAGGACUCUGCUGGGAAAACACUGCUUGUGUCCAGACUGCUGGAGAACACAGGUUUGAAUUACACACACUUGAACAUUGAGACUCCUAAAAACCUCAAGGUGCGAACGAAUCCCAGAGAUUCACGGAUCCCACGCGGCACUAUGCAGAGGAACCUCGCUCUCCGCUGGCUGAGGAGAAACAUCAACCCCAUCUCUGGUCAUAAAGGAAUCGUCUAUUUUGCAGAUGAUGACAAUACCUACAGCCUGGAGUUGUUUGAAGAGAUGCGUUGGACUCGCAGAGCAUCUGUCUGGCCAGUCGCCUUUGUCGGAGGGCUUCGUUUUGAAUCGCCAAAAAUCAACUCUUUUGGCAAAGUGUUCGGCUGGAGGACGGUGUUUGACCCUCAUCGACCAUUUGCCAUCGACAUGGCAGGGUUUGCUGUGAAUCUCCAGCUCAUCCUCAGUAAACCUCAGGCCUACUUUAAACUCCGGGGGGUAAAGGGAGGAUACCAGGAGAGCAGUCUAUUACAGGAUCUGGUCACUCUUAGUGACCUGGAACCCAAAGCUGCCAACUGCACAAAGAUUUUUUCCAUGCAUUGAAAGUGAAUGGUGACUGAGGCAUUCUGCUUAACAUCUUCCACAAAAAGAAGAAAGUCAUACAGGUUUAAACAACAUGAGGGUCCUGGUCUGGCACACCCGAACGGAAAGACCUGUGCUUGUGAAUGAAGGAAAAAAGGGAUUUACAGAUGUUAGCAUGGAAGUAUGAUGAACUGCAACCAUGCUAUAUUUUAUUCAAAUUUUUUUCACAGUAUUGCAAGUUGGAUAAUGCUGGAGUUCUCUGGCAAAACUAAAAUGUCAUUGUUCACUGCGCUUUCACCUCAUCUGAGACACACUGGAGUUUUCAAAUAACACAAAACAAAGAGCAAUUCUCCAUUUUCCUCUGAGGCACAACAAACAAAAAACCUCUGCAUCCUUUAAAAGGAUUAAAAUGAAAUUAAAAAGCUCUGAGUGAAAUGGUGUCAUUCUGCACAAUAUGUUUAUAUUUUAUUCCAGAUAAAUGCUCUGGAAAGCUUUUGCUCUAAUAGCUUUACAAUGCUAUUGUAAAAGGGUCAAUUUACUGGUUUGAAUGUGAGUUCAAGAUGAAAAUAUUUAUUUCACAAGCCAGGUCUUAAUGUUUUGUCUUACUAUUGAAAGAAAGCAUAAAAUGUGCUCAUGCAAAACUUACUACCAUUAUGCCAGAGCGUUGCUAUAUGGUUGCAAACAUGUUCUGAGUGGUUGUAAGCACAUUGCUAUGCAGUUUCUACAUUGUUCUGAGUGGUUGCUUACCAGCUCAAGUCAAAGGAGCCCACUCAUUAGCUCUCAAUGAUAAUCUACUCCCUACAUUUGACUCAAGUCCUUCCUUCAAUGUAAGUUUCUGGAUUUUGUUUUUCACCAGUUUAAUCAUCCAAGGGAAAACAGUCAGUCCGAUCACUUAGAAUAGUAAAAGCACACCUAUCCUCAAUAAGCUGUAUGGCUUGAGGUAUCAUGAAUGUCCAUAGCACAAACAGUGAGUGAUGAGUUAAGGCCAAAGCUUAAUACUUGGGAUUAGAGCAAACCCCUAACCUUAAGUUUGAGCAAAAAUUAUUUUAAUGCUUGCCUUUGCAAGCACCACAAAUUAAAACCAGUUUCAAUUAGAUAUAAAUAAACUUUCAGAGUUUAGAGAAGGCAAUAUAAUGCUGGAAUCUCCAGUCAAUUUACUGUGAAACAACUGUGCGCCAGUGGAAUUUAUUGGGAGGAAAAAAAUAGAUUAAUAAUUUGACUUGCUCUGUUGUAUUUGAGAGUCUUAAUUGAGUAAUGUUUGUACAUUUGCCUGAUUGGCCAGUGCAGAUUAAGCUUUUAUAUGCAAAGUAAACAUAAAGGGACUCACACACACACACACACACACACACACCGAUGGUCUACCAAAAAAAACUAAGCGAUUAGAUUCGAAUUAUGACACUAGAAAUGUCCUCGUACACCUUGUAAUUAUCAGUUUGUAACCUAAAAAUGAAGUCCUUGUAAACCACUCAAACCAGCAUCCCAGUAAUGUCCAAUGUUCUGUCUAUUAAUA